UGGACAGUUACUGCAGUCCCGCCCCCUCACUCAGGGACAGAGGGGAAAGACCAGGGGUAAAUCCGUGUAAGCUUCCUCUAGGUCCUAGAUCCUUAAGUGCAGGAUCUCAAGCUGAUUGGGGCAGCUAAGGGGAAACGAACUCCGAGGUUGCCCUAUUUCAAACUAGCUGAAGAGCUUGGAUUGGGAUUGCUGGGGCAGAUGUGAAAAUAAAGAGACCAACCUCCACAGAA